UGUUAAUAUUUUCACCUCCAUGUACUUAUAGUCUAUUUAUUAUUCUCUGCAUGAAGAGAGGUAUAAUGAAGAUAUGAGAAAUUAAUGACACAGAGCCCUCGCUGGAUUGUUCAAUGUAGAACAAGGAAAGUCAUGUUUCUUGUGCCCUCUCUUCUUGUUAACAAAAACAUUGAUAGCUCAAUUUACAAAAGGUGUAUUAAGGCACAUUAAGUGAUAUAUGAAACUUAGGACAUGGAAACUGAAAUUUAUAAUGUGCUUCAAAACUUUUAAAGCUUUCAAAUAUUCUAUAAUACAUAGCUGCAUUGAAUAUGUUCUGUAAAAUUUCUGGUUACACUUUGUUUUCGAUAGUCCACUUUAGAUAUUCUACUAACUAAAACUUUGCAACUACAUGGCAACUAACUCUCAUUAAUUUGCAACAACUUGUCAACUAACUUUCAUUAGAUUAUUAGUAGACUCUUAGGUUAGGGCAGGACUAAUGCCAAGGGGGUGGCAUUUGAGGGCAGUGCUAACUGGUCAUUCAGCGAACUUAUUGAGAGCAAAAAAACGUUAUUUCUGUGGAUUUAGCCAUGCACAUAGUCCAUAAUGAAACAUCUUCAGCAGCAUUUAACUCGCAGGAAUACUUAUUUCUACAACAGUAACUUUAAACAACACAUUAUCUUCAGAAACUUGGCUGGGCUAGGCUUAUAGCAUUCUCCUGGCCACAGACUUGAGCAAUUUUCUCUCUCAAACCACUGCCUGCUGCUGCUUCUGGUUGCUUUUGGAGGUAAAAGCUGCCCAUAACUGCUGUCUAGAAUCAGUUUUCUCUGUCAUUUUCUUUUGGCAGUAUUUAGCAAAUUAUCCAGUGCAUAUCUGUGUUUGCGCUCUGGAGAACGUCAAAGGUUUCUAUUUACAAUGUGUUUUUGCAGCAUUGAGCAAUGUAGCCAAUCACAAACAUAUCUGUUGAUAUCUUGAACGCAACGGCCAAUCAAAGAUGUUUAAGUUGGCAUGUACAAAAACUCUGGCAUUUUGAGCGGUGAGUGGAUUCUGAGUUCUGCACUCUCACAAAUCCUCUCAUUAUAACAAACAAUUAUGUAAAUAAGAGAUUCAUUGUGCAGUCAGGUUUGUUGAUUAUAACGGAAAUUUGUGAGGAAUGAACUUCGCAAUGAACUUAAGAUGAGUGCAUCUUUGUGUGCAUUCUGUCAUGCCAAAUCCCAUAUUGCUUUUCCAUUAAGAUUAACAGUGGUUUGUGAACGUAAACACUUUAACAACAAAUAAUUUAUCAGGAACAUAUAUGCAAUUUCAAAACACUGCUUCAAAGCGGGUGUUUUACGGGUGUAGAACGAUAUGAGGGUGAGUAAUAAAUUAUAUUAUUUUCAAUUUUGGGUGAACUAACCCUUUAACCAUUUUAAUCACAAAUCACAUGUCAGGAAAUUAGCAAGAAUUGCACAAAUACCCUAAAUAUUCAAGCUGCAAGCAGCAUUUACUGGGGUUCAAGCACUUUAAGGCCUUUAAGCACAUAAAAAGGUAUUAUAUUUUAUUCAGCAAGCAUGUAAACACUUAGAUCAUAGAUGGAAAAGACCAUUUACAGCCAAUAGAGGCAAUUUAAUAAGGAAAAAUAUGUUUUGUAAAGGUUUUUUGACAGUUAUAGCGCCACCUAUUGCCUGAUCUCCACCACUUUUUUUGGAUGUCCUCAGAGUGUGCCCAUACAUAUGUGUUUUAAUUUUGGUGAAAAUAUCUCAUUUCGUUUUGAAGUUAUAGAUACUUAUAUAUAUGGGAGCAUAAAAAAUGACCUUAGAACGUCUUUGAUUGGAUUUUUUUGCCAUUUCCUAUGAAAAUUUUGACAUUUGGGCUUUUACAUUUUUGUUAAUCAACUUAAGUUCCGUGUUUCGUACGCUGGUUUCGUCUCGAUCGGAUUAACGGUUUCGAAGAUUUUCGCGGCUAAAUCACAACGUUGCACAAACCGAAACCUGGCAAGUCUGGUAUCGCUGGACUCGGCAAGGUUUCAGGAGUCUAAGCACAUGACUCCUGUGAAAAUAAGUCGACCACACCCAAAGUUAUACACAUUUUCAUCCAAAACCAUUAAAAACAUAUGUUUUUUAAAAUAUUUUUUUAACAGUUAUAGCGCCACCUAUGGUCCGAUCUCCAUAAAAAUUGCCAUGCUUCUUUAGAGUCAUAUGCUGCAUGUGCUUACCUAUUAUUGUGAAGUUCUGAGUUUUCGUUUAGGCUUUAUAGGUUUUUGGGUAUGUUGAGCCAUGCCCACUUUCUAAAUGACCCUGUUAUAGCAACCCAAAGGGUAAAGUUAAACUUUUUUUUUUUGUGAUAAUUAUUGAUCUAGAGAGUCCAGAGAAGUGUUCUGCACUGGUUUCGUUCCGAUCGGGUGAAAAACCUAGGACUAGUUUGCAAAAGUAGGUUUUUCACAUAUUUGCGAAUAAUUAAUGAACGAUUUGAUUGACAGCAUUGGUUCUUGAGGCACAGUUGUUCAGAAUGAGGAGAUCUAUCAAAUGAAAUGCAUAUUGUGUGGAUCUGUGAAACACCACGUGAUUACUGAGGUAUAAAACUCGUUAGCGCCAACAAGUGGCCGAUUUCUUUCAAAAUUCUUACAGACCUCUAGGACCAUGAGUUAUACAUGCCUACUGAGAUUCGUUCCGAUCGGCCUCCAUUAACCUUGUCUAAUAGGUGCCCAUACACAUGUGUACUGAGUUUGGUCCAAAUAUUUCAUUUCAUUCUCGAGUUAUAGCCAUUUUAGUAAAGUGGCUCCGCCCACACCCUACGUUUUGGCACCCCUUAGCGACCGUGAAUCAAAAUUUCAACUUUUUUUUUUUUGAUAAUUAUUGAUAUUCAGACUCCAGAGAACAUUUCUGCACUGGUUUGGUUCCGAUCGGGCGAAAAACCUAGGACUAGUUCGCAAAAGUAGGUUUUGGACAAAAUUCAAAAUGGCGGAAAAUUUUUCUAGGCGGAAAUGAAAUUGGAGAUAUAUGUUUGGUCCGUCUCGAGACAAAGAUUCCAAUGAUAUAAAACACUUGAUUCUAGGACAAAAGUUCUAGGAGUUAUAAGCGAUUUUCAACUUUUGAUCGCUGUAGCGCCACCUAUUGGCUGAUUUGGAUGAGUCUGGGUAUUUGAGUAGCGAGCAAGACUACUAUAAUCUGACAAAAUUUCAAGUCUCUCUGCCUUAUGGUUUGGGCUGCCCGAUCAGUUUUAGGGAAGAAGAAAAAUAAUAAAAAUCUGAGCAAUUACAUAUGGUUUCAGCACUUCAUGCUUGAACCCCUAAAAAUAACUUAGUGUGGAAUAACCUUCCCCUUUGUUUUCUUUAAAUGCUUAUGCCAUGUGGGUAAGCUUUUUAGAGAGCUUUUUACAGGAAGAAGAGUCAGUGUUGUUCCACUCAAUGUUAAUGGCUUUAAACAGCUCAUGUGUAGUUGAAAAAUGUCUCCCAGCUUGUUUGAGUUUAAUGUGAGACCAAAUAUUCAUUAUAGGGUUCAAAUCAUUAUAGGGUUCAAACCAAGGCCAAAACAUGAGCCUGUUGGACUUGUUCUCAAGCCACUUCUGGGUUGUCUUUGCAGUUUGGGCAGGAGCAUUGUCUUGUUGAAAAAUAUCAUCUGAUCAUUCCUCUUUAGAAAACAACUUUUCAGUUGUGGGAAGUAAGCCAUUCUGCAAUAUUCUCCUGUGCUCCAAAGCUUUAAAUGACUUUUCAGAGUGAAGUAGCUCACCAAUACCAGCAGCUAAAAAGACUCCCCACACAAUGACACCUCUUCCUCCAUGCGUCACUGUGGUAGAGAUGCAUUUAUUUUUAUAUUUCUCACCAGAUUUUCAAAGACACCGCUCUGGAGCAUCACCAUGCAACUCGUGUUUUGGGAUUCAUCACUCCACACACAACUUCCCAUAUUCUGCCAAAAACUUUAUUCUGUCUUUGAUGUUUUCUAAACAGCAAUAGCUUUUUAAGUAGUGCAUUUGCUUAAAUCUUGCUAAUUUCCUGACCAAUGAUUUGUGGCUAAGACAAUUAAAAGCUUAUUGUUUAGUAUAUUAGGCUUGGCCCUUUACUUUCAACUGUUAGCAUUUUUAAACUUGGGCAUCAUAUAUAUUUCCGUUAGUUUGGCAUGGGCUACGUGCUGACUGACCACAUAAGCCGAGCGUUAUAUCUCUGUUAGCACAAGCUCCUUGCUGCUUCCAUCCCGGAAGAGUGGAGUGGACAUACGAGGGAGGAUCAACAUCGAGAGUGAUGAAUGUCUUUAGACGGAAGAGUCAUGCAGGAUGUCCUUGACAUUAAUCAAAACUUUUUUUCUCUCUCUCUCUCUCUCUCUCUCUCUCUCUCUCUCUCUCUCUCUCUCUCUCUCUCUCUCUCUCUCUCUCUUUUUGUUUGUUUGUUUGUUUGGUGAGCUGGGCUGUUGUGGCAUCUCUUCACUCAUGUCCACUGAUAGCUUGACUUAACGACAUCAUUCAUCAAGGAAAGUGGGCUGUGCUGUGUUUCGGGGCUGUGCUCCAUUUUCAAUCAGACACAGCACAUUAGAAACGGAUAUCAGCUUUUAAAAGAAAUCGGAAUAUUGUUCCACGAAUAUGAUGCAUCCUUCAAUCAUCUCAGAGCAGCAAAUCUACAUACUGUCAAAGAGUGUCAAGACCAUAUCAAGCAGAGAAAAUCCAACCCGGAGGAGGGCAGGUGAAAAGAAGAAGAAAAAAAGUGUGCCACUGUGCAUUCCCUAGAACAAACACUCGUGGUGAAGGGGUCGGCGUGCCAGGGCUUGACAAACAAAUGACAGGAAAUGACAGACUUUGAGGAAACACCUCAGCACGACCUGAUGCUAAUCGGAGCAAGACUGUGGAUGUGGCAGCCCUGCUAUCACCUAUCAGCACUGAAGGCAACUCAUAUGGAGAGAACGCUUUACAUCCCUGUCAUUUUGAACAAACAACACCUCCAAACACCAGAUAGGACACUAUUGUCAGCUCUGUCUGAUCUGAUCUGUCCAUCAAUCGGAGGUGUGUGUGUGUGUAUGUGUGAAGAGGGAAUUAAGGGAAGGAAGCUGGCAAUGGUGUAUAAUAAGAAAAGCACAGAUGCUAGACGUGCCCACCUGUUCAUAAACUAAUUAAUCACAAGACUUAUGAUACUAUUCUGUCUGUAAAAGGAAGGGUGAUAACACUUCUUUUCUUUUCAGUACCAAACCACAUACUAUCAAGGUCAUUUUUGCUGUAUUGAUACCAAUUCAUAAAAUGGAACAUUUUUGGAAGGAUUACAUUUGUACCUAUAGCCAAUUAGUAAGAUAUUCAACUUUUAUUUAUCGUUUAAGACCAAUUACAGAAAAUGAACAUUAUUUUUUUUUUUAUUCCAACUUUUAAUUAAAAAAAUAAAUGUCACAUUUGUCAUUGUUUCAUGUGAAAUAACUCCAGAACUAGUUUCUCUUUCAUUACCUCUGGUAGGAGCCAGUCUCUCUGUUUGUAUUCAUGACUUCCUGUCACUUUCUGUUUGUGUUCAGGUGAGCCCAAGAGGAAGUUCCUAUCCUACACAAUUGUUUGCUAACAACAUUCAUUUUUCCACUUCAAAUCUUUAUUCUUAUCAUAUGUGACCCUGGACCAGAAAACCAGUCAUGGGUCAUUUUUUUUUUUAAAUUAAGAUUUAUACAUCAUCUGAAAGCUGAAUAAGCUUUCCAUUGAUGUAUGGUUUGUUAGGAUAGGACAAUAUUUGGCCGAGAUAAAACUAUUUGAAAAUCUGGGUGCAAAAAAAAAAAAAAAAAAAAAAAAAAAAAAAAAAAAAAUCUAAAUAUUGAGAAAAUUGCCUUUAAAUUUGUCCAAAUAAAGACCUUAGCAAUGCAUAUCCUCUCACAAAAAUACAUUUUUGAUUUAUAUUUACGGUAGAAAAUUUACAAAAUAUCUUCAUGGAACAUGAUCUUUACUUAAUAUCCUAAUGAUUUUUGGCAUAAAAGAAAAAUCGAUAAUUUUGACCCAUACAAUGUAUUGUUGGCUAUUGCUACAAAUAUACCCGUGCAACUUAUGACUGGUUUUGUGGUCCAGGGUCACACAUGCUUUAAUCAUAAUGCUAAAUAAACCCAUAUGCUGUCUAUUUAUUAUCACUCCUUAUGACUAUUUAUAACUCCAGUAAAACCCUAAACAAUGUUUUUGGUGUUUCUAUAUUCCUAUCUUGACUUUGUUGUGCUGUAUACCUUCAAAGAUAUGUACAGAUACUCAAAGUCCUUUUAAGAUUAGAACAAACAUCGUGAAAUGUUGAAUUUUAAACUGCUUACAUUGCAUCCAUAGAUAUUAAUGGUCUAAAGACUGAUUAGCCAUUAACUAUAAACAUGUGUGACUAUAUAUUCACUUCAGUGUGAAAAGGUCUCAUAAUUUACAUGCAAUGCUCAUUUUGGGGCGUUGGUGGUUUAGGGUUGGGCCCUGCUUGCAACGUGCAGCAUAACGUGUAAGUGUGUGUGGGUGGCCCAAGUGCCUCUCCUAAUUCAAUCAUCGCCUCCUCUCAGCUUGCUUUUUUAUUCCAAUUUGAUUAGCAGAGCUAAAGCCAUCACGAUCUCGCCCAGACAAAAUGAAUGCUUGUAUUAAUCCUGCAAUUUCCAUUUAAAAUGUGGAGCAUUGACUUGAUUAAUAAGUGGGCCGAUACUGAAUAAUUACGCUGCAAACAUCAGCUAUGGGCGAGAGCGCAGCUGGGGUUGCUUACAGAUGCCCUAUGGGAUCUCAGAGGGGUCAAACUAAAGCAUUGGCCAUGACUGAGGUGAUGAAUCAGUUAGCCAAUCUUUUCGACAAUUAACAAUCUGUGGCCCCUGUAUUAAUUUGCCGCCCCUGGAGUGGAGCCUGGUCAGAUGUGUCAGGGUCAAGGGUUAGAGGUCGAGAGCACAGGUCAAGCCCACUGAUUUGCCCUGGCAAAAUCAAAAGAAGAAAAUAAGCACAUUACAUCGAAAUGCAUUACCCAACCGGAGCUUACCAUAUCAGAUGGUUUGCAAAUUAACAUUCGUAUAUGAAGGGGCGAGCUGAGAAACAUGAAAGGGAACGUUCUGAGAACGUUUAAUUAGUGGUGAUCAAUCUAGGUGCACUGUGUUUGAGCAUUCAAUAAAGUGAAAUCGAUGGCUGCGAGGACAAACAAAGCAGGUGUUCUUAGCAGAGGGAUUAUAGGUUAACAUUUAUUCGGAAGAGAUAUUGUAAUGCUCGACCUGCUAGAUGUAAUAUUAAACCGCACAAUCCAUCGCCAUCCAUUACAAGUGUCCCAUUGAUCCUCCGCCCAUCGACAUUUUGCUUUUCCGAGGUGCGUUUCGUUCCAUCUUGCCUGCUUUAUCGAAUGCUUCCUGGCUUGUUUUGAUAGGCAUGUUGUAGAUGGGCUGCUCUUUUGCACACCACAUGUGUCCUCCUUGUGCGUUCACUGCAUUGAACUCUUCGGGAACCCCUUGUCGUACACUAUAGCCACUGUGGCUCGUGAUUGUAAUGAUUACAAUGUACACACUGCUGUAAUGUCACCAUUCUUUCUCCACUUAAUGACCGAGGUUCAAGUAGAGUUCAAAUCCCUUCACACUUUAUGGCAAUCACCUCACCAGGGUCAAAAUUCGAGCUCACGUCCAUUUUUCAAUAAUGCUGCCGUGAUCGUCAGCGUUAUUGGCCUCGACCAGAUUUUUUCCUCACAUCAGAGCCCAAGCUUCAAAGAUGCAGGGUUGUCUCAAGGUUAAUUCUGGACAAAACAGCGCAGAGAGUUGUCAAAACGAACAUUAUUUGAUGGUAGCUAGGCUUCCCGCUUGGGAAUAGGUCAGCUUUUAUGUCAGAACGAAAGCAUUCCCACAUGUUUGAAAAUAUGCUUAAUGCUCCUGGGAUCGUGUUUCGUGGCAGCCUCCUAAAACCUGCUGCAUCGCUCAUUGUUAAAUGCUGUCUGUGGGGGAAAUUAGCCCUGACAUUGUUUUUAUAAUAAAAACACAGUUUAGAUGGGCCCAGCCUCCCAACUUUACAGCUUUUAAAUUGCACUUCUCUGUAAAGCUAUCCCAGUGUCUCUGUGCCCCCUUUUCACUCUCUCUCAUUCUCUCUCUCUCUCUCUUUCCCUGUGAGUGGCUCUUGCCAAAUAGGGGCACAUAUGUUUCUCUGUAAUUAAAGCUCUUGUUAUACAGUGCUGCUUCCUUCAAGUAGAAAUGAUUAACUAAUGGAGCGAUUGAGGGGAAAUUAAUAGUUAUCUCUUCCGUCAUUCCCCCUGCCUUGUUUUCUGUCUAACUCUCCCUCUGUUGAAACACUGGCACUUUUGUGCAGAGUAAUCGAUAAGCAGUUUGUUAGGGUUACAAUACACACAGGUGUGACAACAUACAAUUAAACAUACAAUGACCCUAAAAGUAUUUGAACACUUAAGAAUGUAUGAAUGUUAUUGCAUUUGACUGUGGCAUCUUCAUGCAAAUGCUCCUAGAGCUUUUCUCAUACUAACUUGAUAACUAUUAUUUUUAAUCAUCUGGUCCCGAGGUCAUUCUAUAGUGGAUAAUUGAAGUAAUUUCUUCACACAGGUGUCCUGGCAAGAGUAACCACAGCUGUCAUUACAUUACAUUAACUACAAACACGAGCAACUAAUGUUUGAUAGCCAGAAAUAAUGACAUUUUUAUCUAUAUUUUUACAUGUAUGGGUUAUUGACGAAUAAGGUUUUGAAAAGUGUAAAAAAAAAAAAAAAAAAAAAAACAUAAUGGAGAUAUAAUUAAUUUAAGUUUGAUUAAGUGUUAACAAUGAGAUUAUGUGUUUUUUUUUUUAUAAUCAAUUAACACUGCUUUUGUCAUUUUUCACAAGAUCACCAAAAAAGUAUUUUGGUUUAACCAAAAUUUUGGUUUUACCAAAUGACACUUUUGGUUACACCAAAUGACGAUAUUUUCAAACAAUGCUAACAGGCUGAUAUCUAGCUAGCUAGUUAGUUAGCUUGCUAGCUAGCCAACAAAAGGACAAUCAAACAUUUUAUAUUUCGCACAAGUUUUUAAAAUAUUACAACAUUUUCCAUGUUUUAUAGCAGUUGUACCGAAUGACCUGACGUUUCAGGACAUGUGUAUGAGCAAGUGAAAACAUUAAUUUUUCAAAUAGUUAAGAGAGAGAUAGUUACUUUGCUUCAUGACCAUGUGGUCCUUUGCAGGUGUCUGAAUGAUGUCACAUCUUGUCACAUGAUAUUGACCGCAUGACUUUAUCCAAAAUGGUCCCUUUAUAUUGGUUCCUCUGAAUGACAUCAAUGAAAUUCAUUUUCCAGACAUUCUUUCUCAUAAAACAACGACUUCUACACAAAAUUUUAAUACCAUUUCGCAAUAUGUUGAUAUAUGAUGUUAUAAAAUCAUGCCAGAAUAAAAAAUAUAUACAUUUAUUACAUUUUAAUAUAUUUUAAUCACAAAUGAAAUGGCUGUAUUGGCCUUUGGACAGUUAAACUGAAUUGCCCUUUAAACACUUCAAAAUCUUUAAAAUACCUUUAUAUGUAGCAAAAUAUAAUUAAACCUUUUGGAUUCAAUAAAAGAGAUCUAGUUGUUCUACCUUGCAUACUUUGGAUGUCAUAUCUUUGUUUUUUUUAUUAUUAUUAAGGCCUUUGGACAAAAAAAUGACCUGUCACGUCAUUGACCUGUAUAUCAUUUAUUUUUUAUUUAAAACCCAACAAACUUGUUUUUAUGAAAUGUUUUGAUUUUUUUGUUAUAUAAUGCAAUAAAAUUCAUUUUGGCUGUG